rnacentral:rRNA from 1 species
UGGUGCCAGCAGCCGCGGUAAUUCCAGCUCCAAUAGCGUAUAUUAAAGUUGUUGCAGUUAAAAAGCUCGUAGUUGGAUUUCUGUUAAUAAUUUAUAUAAAAUAUUUUGAUGAAUAUUUAUAUAAUAUUAACAUAAUUCAUAUUACUAUUUUUUUAGUAUAUGAAAUUUUACUUUGAGAAAAUUAGAGUGCUUAAAGCAGGCAUAUGCCUUGAAUACUCCAGCAUGGAAUAAUAUUAAAGAUUUUUAUCUUUCUUAUUGGUUCUAAGAUAAGAAUAAUGAUUAAUAGGGACAGUUGGGGGCAUUUGUAUUUAACAGUCAGAGGUGAAAUUCUUAGAUUUGUUAAAGACAGACUAAUGCGAAAGCAUUUGCCAAGGAUGUUUUCAUUAAUCAAGAACGAAAGUUAGGGGAUCGAAGACGAUCAGAUACCGUCGUAGUCUUAACCAUAAACUAUGCCAACUAGAGAUUGGAGGUUGUUCCUUACU